rnacentral:rRNA from 1 species
UACGGAAGGUGCAAGCGUUGUUCGGAAUGACUGGGCGUAAAGCGCACGUAGGCGGGUUCGCAAGUAGGAUGUGAAAGCCCAGGGCUCAACCCUGGAAUGGCACCCUAAACUACGAACCUUGAAUGCUUGAGAGGUUGGUGGAAUUCCUGGUGUAGGAGUGAAAUCCGUAGAUAUCAGGAGGAAUAUCGGAGGCGAAGGCGGCCAACUGGUGGUGCAUUGACGCUGAGGUGCGAAAGCGUGGGGAGCAAACAGG